UACGUAGGUGGCAAGCGUUGUCCGGAAUCAUUGGGCGUAAAGCGCGCGUAGGCGGCCCGGUAAGUCCGCUGUGAAAGUCAAAGGCUCAACCUUUGAAUGUCAGUGGAUACUGCCGGGCUAGAGUCCGGAAGAGGAGAGUGGAAUUCCUGGUGUAGCGGUGAAAUGCGCAGAUAUCAGGAGGAACACCGGUGGCGAAGGCGGUUCUCUGGGCCUGUACUGACGCUGAGGAACGAAAGCGUGGGGAGCGAACAGG
rnacentral:rRNA from 1 species